GGGGAUAUAUCUCAGCAGUAGAGUACUUGCCUAGUUUGUGUGAGGCCCUGGGUUCAAUCCCCAAUAUCUUCA
rnacentral:tRNA from 1 species